rnacentral:lncRNA from 1 species
AAAGGAAUGAAAGGAGGCAGAGGCUUCAAAGGAGACCCAGUGAGGAAAAGCUACAAUUAUAUAUAAUCAUUCUUUAAUUAAGAUAAAAAUACAAUGAUAGUGAUUCACAAAGUGUGUCUCUGCAGGGGGAGCCUGGCAUCGAUGGAACAAUACCAGGAGAAAAGGUGAAAGACUGAUCCACUCAUCAUCCACAGAAAAUCAUCCUGACUGAUCUGUGCUGUUUCAGGGUGAUGCAGGACAGUAUGGUGAUCCAGGGCAGAACGGGGAGCAGGGAUCCAGAGGAGAACCAGGAACCAGAGGAAGUAUGGGAUUGAAGGGAACCCGAGGCCCUGAUGGGUACAGAGGCCAUCCAGGUCGAGCAGGACAUCCUGGUCUUACUGGAGACCCUGGACUACCUGGACAAGUCUUCAUCCUUCCAGGUCUGCAGGGGGACUCAGGAAGUGAAGGUCCAGUAAGCACCUGCAACUGUUCUCAAGUUCAAACCUCACAGAGACGGUCGAAUAGAAUCAAUACGAUCUUUAUAGCAGAUGGAGAGAAGCAGAUGAGGCGGCUGCGGGUGGAGAACGUGAUGGUGCUGCGUACAGACAGGAGAGCUCUGUACAUCUACACCGAGUCCCAGUGGAUCAACAUGCUGGAGGACUCCAGAUACUGAACACAUCUGCUGCUCAGUGGAUGUCAGAUCAGACUGUGUGUUACUGGAUUUCUGCAUGUGCAAUAUUUCACUGCAGUUUACCUGUCCUCAGCAGUAACACAGAUGACCCUUACCUUGAUUUGAGUAAAUCUGCAGUGUUUCUUUCAUAUGAUGUAUGAAUGGAUGCUGCUGCUACUUCACAGAGACCAAUAAAGACUACUGUCAUAUGUGAAGUGACUGCA